rnacentral:rRNA from 1 species
UACGAAGGGGGCUAGCGUUGUUCGGAAUUACUGGGCGUAAAGGGCGCGUAGGCGGUGUGUCAAGUCAGGCGUGAAAGCCCCGGGCUCAACCUGGGAACAGCGCUUGAGACUGGCACGCUCGAGUGCGGGAGAGGAUGGUGGAAUUCCCAGUGUAGAGGUGAAAUUCGUAGAUAUUGGGAAGAACACCGAUGGCGAAGGCAGCCAUCUGGACCGACACUGACGCUGAGGCGCGAAAGCGUGGGGAGCAAACAGG